ensembl:lncRNA
CCAGGAUCAGAUGACUGUGGAGCCUCUGCCCCUGAGCUGGAGGCCGCGGUUGCGCUGGGUGGUCCCUGGCUGAGCGGGCUGCCUUGGGCGCUGUGUCUCCCCUGCGGGCCGCCAGGCCUCUGCUCUCCGGGGGCCGGUGUCCUCUGCGCUUGCCAUGAAGAUGACGAAAUGGUGGCUGACGCGUACUGAGAAGUGGCUUCUGCGCUGUCCUCUGAAGGUCGUGCUCAGUGAUAUCUGUGUGAACAGAGGCACUGGGACAAGAGCCGGGUCUAGCCGUGUCCUCCACCCGGUCGCAGAGGGCCUUCUGAGCCCCCAUCCCUCCUUGGAGGCCUGUGGUCCCUUGAGCUUGGGUCCAGCCUUGUCAUGCCAGGGAGGUGGGAGGGAAUGAGGGGGUCUGAAAGACCGAAGCGUCGGCCACAGUGCUGUCUCCAAGCUCCUGGGUCAGGUUUUUCUGUGACCCCUUUUGCCCUUGUGGCUCAGGCCAGGAGACACUUGUGAUGGUCGAAGUUGCUUGGGCUCCUGCCUGGAGCCCCAAGGCUCUCGCCUCGGCCAUCCUGCACCCACCAGCAAGUGGAACUCUGAAAGUCAAGGCCAGAGUGGACCUGAGAGGUCAUCCUGUUCACUGCCUCUCAGACAUUUUAAAGCACUGAAGCUGUUGAGUUCAAAAUGCAGUGUUACGAGGAACCCCAAUACGUGUGACAGCUAAAAGCUGCUCUGACAGGCGGCCUGCAGACCCCACCUGCUGUGACCAGCUCCUGUCAUCCGGGGGUGCCUAAGCAUUUCCAGAAACCCACUUGGAAGAGCGCGGACACCCCCUCAUGGGGCACAGGAGAGGAGGGUCUCGGGGCAGGGUCUGUGCUGGGGUCAUGUGCUGCUGGAAGCAGCACGUGCCACCUCCACUCGUGCUCCGUGGGGGCCGGGGGUGGUGGCCCUUCCUGUCGCAUACGGGAGCUGCAGAACUCCUCCCCUGGGGAAGAGCUUGUGUUACGCAGUCACUCGAUCCCCGCCUGCUUCUGCGAUGCCCAGGGAAUGGUCGAAGUGAAACCCAAGAGCCCGAGCGGCCGGCCUGUGCCCUAGAUGGCUGUGCUGCCCAGGCAGGUGACCCCUCCGCAGAUCAAUCCAUGGCCCAUGCAGCCUCUGGAGUCUGGGAAGCAUUUCCCCCCAUGCAGACCAGAGCCCGAGGCCCGACCCACAGCCUGAGGCGGCACACAGGACACCGUUGGCACAGGGGGGCCCCUAAUGAAGUGGAAGGUGUUAAUUCCUCUCGGAGGUGUUGCCAGGAGGUGUUGCCAGCACCCGGGACAAGGAGUCUCCUCUCGGGAAAGCUCUGAGAAGCCGGCCUGAGCAUUGCAGAUGAACUGCCUGGUGGGGGCUCCCAGCAAAUGGCUCACAGGAGAGCAGAGGCCCUGGGGGAGCCUGGGGGUGGGCGGGGGGAGCAUGGGGGAGCGGGAGGAGGCUGGACUGGGCAGUGGGCAUGAGCGGUGGGCCUGUGCCCCUUGGGACUGAGCUGGGAGGGGGCCUACAAUGGGACACCCUGAAAACUCUGAACAGACAGACCUGGGGCAUUCUGGCAGGAGCAAGGCGUGGCCCUGGGCUGGAGGUCCAUGGGCUGAGCUGCCCCUGGGAUGGUGAUGCCCAUCCCACCGGCUUGUGGUGGAUGAAGGAGGAGGGCCAGCGAACCCUCAGCCUUGCGGGUGGGUCUCCUCGGGGAUGCCACCAUCCCUGCCCAAGAAGGUAGGUCAGGGCGUUACGUAGGUUGUCGAGGAUGAAGGCAGGUGUGGCUCAGCCUGGUCCCCAGGGAUAGAGAGCAGGGCCUUUCUCUUUAGGAGGGUUGACUUAGAUGCCAGAGAGACGAGCGUCCCUGCCACUCCUCAGGGGCAGGAACUCGGCGUAGUGAGGAAAAGCUCUGAGCAUCAGGAGAGGUGAUUAGUAAAUAGUAACGAAGCCACUAAUGCUUUCUGUGAGCCGAGAGUCGACAUGCAUUAUUUCAUUUUCUCCGUGUGACUCCCUGUGAAGCUGGUACCUUCAUCAUCCCAUUUUGCAGAUGAGGAAACUGAGGCUCAGAGAAGUGACAGUCACAGACAACGAGAAGUGAUGGAACCAGGAGUCAGCCCCAGGGCUUGGUGGCAGGCAGCCGUGGGCUCACUGGGUGGCCGCCACCACCCAGACGCUCGCCUCUGAGAGGAGGGUUCCAGAGAGCAGGGUAGAGAUGGGUUAGGGCGUGAGGAGACCACAGGGUGGCCUAGGAAGGACUCUGCCCAAAUAGAAGCAGACUGGGGAUGGGUGCCCGCCUGCCCGUGUCCUCCUGCAGACAGGCAGGAGGAAGCAGCCUGGGGCUUGGUGACCCAGGCGGCCAGGCAGCGCCCAUGGGGCCAGCCGAGCCCGCCCCUCCGGGCCGCAGGCACUGGAAUGCGUGUGGGAUGAGGGCCUGUUCCUAGUUUCAGGAAAAUAAAUGGUCUCCAGGGGAGACUCAGAAACAAAACCUGGCCUGGCCGGGACCUGGGGAACCUCUUCCACUGUUGGAAACAGAUCCAUUCUGGCCCAGCCCUGAGGGAGCCCUGGCAUGAAGCCCCCGGAGGGAGGACCUGGGGAGGGCGGUGGGGGGAGGAGGGCGGCCUGGCUGCCAGGGAAGGUCCUGCUGCCCUCCCUCCUGGCCCUCCCUCCUUGUUCCCCGUCCCCAGCCAGCCGCCCUUCCAGAACAACUAGCAGGAAACCAACGGGCCCAAUUGAUUUCCUGGGAGUUGGCUGGUGUCAGUGUCAAGGCCAGUGGCAGAUGGCAAAUUCUGCCUGUUGUAGACGAGUGGAAGAUAAUUAGCGUGAGAACGAGAAGCUGAAGCCCCUGUGAUAGAUGGAGCCCUGAGGAGGGCUCCUCGGGAGGGGCUGGAGCACUCACGGCCUGGCUCUGCCGCUUACCAGCUGAGUGACCUUGGGCAACUUCUUAACUUCUCUGGGCCUCCUUUUCCUCGUCGGUAAAAUGGGGCUAGGAAUAGCACUUGCCUCAUAGGGUUUUAACAAGAUUAAAUAAGAGGAAGUAAUAUCUGUGAACUGCUUGCCACAGGACCUGGCGUGUGGUAAAUGCUGUGACACAGGAGCAGCCGUACACACCCACCGGCUUGUAGUGAGGGGCAUACGAGACACCUCCUCCGAGGCCAUCCCAGGGGGAGGGUGGGGAAGGUGCUUGUCAGUCUAAGACCCUGGGGGCAGAGGGGACCCAGUGGCGGUGGCGUCUCUGUCCUGCCCCCGGCCCUCCCAGGCACGCUGUUUUAGUCCCAGGGCCUGGGCGUGUGGGGACCCGUCUCCUGCUGAAAUCCGGCCCCAGCCCUGGGCAGGCGCGGCUCUGCCUUCUGCUCUGGCACAGCUGAUGCGUGAAAAGCGACAGCUUUCGGGCCCCUAACUUGGGUUGCGCACACCCGGGCACAGGCUGGUGGCGCACGCGGCCCCCAGCCCACGCGUGCUUUCUCUCUGUCACCUCCCUCGCCGCCUUCCCCCUUCCAGGGCCUUCUGCGGACCUGGGAAGGAGAAGGGACAUUGGGGUGGGAGGAGCGUGUGGGUCUUUGUGGCUGUGUGCGUGGGAUGAGGACUCGGACCCACAGCCGGAGAGGUUGUUCCCUUUCAAGUGGCUCCAGGAGGCCCUUGAAGUCCCUGCUCUGCCUCCUUGUUGUGGGAUCUGUAGGCAAGCCAGCACGUCUCCCUGAGCUUGUUUCUUCAUCUCUAGAGCUCGAAAAUACCCCUAUGUCUCGAUGAGGCUGGGACAGGUGACACAAAGUGUCCAGCUCUGUGCCGUCUCGCAGCCCCACAGCCCGCUCACUCAGGACAGACCACGGGACCCCCCUGGGCUCAGUUCUCCUCCUCUGCAGAAUGGGCGACACCCACACCUUCCCCGACCGGGAGUCUGGAGCCCGGGGACUCAGAGCUCUUUGUGGGCCCUGAGGCCCUGCCUCUUCACCCCAUGAGGGGAUGUUCGAGGCCAGCUUCUGGGGUCAGAAACAGGCAUUUAGCAGAAUCCUGCUCCUCAGAACCAGCAUGCAGCGGUUAAGCUGCGGGCUCUGGGACCGGGCUGUGUGACCCAGGCCAAGUCCCUCAGCCCAUCUGUAAAAUGUGGUUACAGCAGUAUGUCCCUCACAGUUGUCAUGAGGAUUAAUGAGCUGUGAUUGUAAAGGGUUUAGGGGAGGCCCAGACGUGGUAGGCAACUGACGAAUGCCAGAGGAGGUGAGUGGCUGGGUCCCCAGCUUGCAGGUGGGCCGAGGUCUCCCCGCCAUCACCCGGAACUGCGCUGCAGUGUCGUGAGCAGUUCUGGUCCUGGGUCAGUCCCUCCUCUGCACGUGCUCUCCACGUGAGCCUCGUAAGCCAGCAGAGAGCUUCACCAGCUCUCUAACUGGCCCCGCAGCUGAGAGUGGAGGAGUCGGGGUUUGAGCGCCCCGGCUAAAAGGCAGGAGGCGGCUGCCAGCCCUGUUGGGCAGGAGAGUGGCCCGUCGGUGAGCCCGCCCUGGCUGAGAUGGAGCCUCUGGCGGCUACCAUGCACCCUGCAGGCUGCCCGGGGCCCAGCUUCACUGCAUCAGUCCCCUGAGUUAGAUGCCCUCGUAAGACUUGACAAGCUCCACUGCCCAACCCAGACACCCUAGGAACCACACAGACCAGGAGGAGCCAGCCGGCCGCAGGUGCCUGUCCCUGUUACCUCUUUGAGAGCUCCUUCUAACUUCAAAGCCUCCUCACAGGGGGAAUCCCGUUCAUCACGGGAGUGGGAGUCCUGGGCCUUCGCCUCCGGCCACCAAGGAUCAAAACACCCUGAAAGAGCCCUUACAGACUCCCCAGAUUCCCUUUUUGCUUUGGCCACCAGGAAGUUCAGUCUAAUGAUAGUUUUCCGUGUAGCUCCUGUGUGGGCCUUUAUGUCUUGCAUGUGUACACCAGAUUCCCCGACUUCCUAUUUUAAUUUAUUUAGUUUUUGUUCUGAAGUUUGUUUGUUUUUAAAUGUAUACUCUACCUUUUCCCUGUUUGUGGGUCCUAUAAGGCACAUGCAGCUGUUGGUUGUGAACACAAAUAAAUACAAAC